UACGAAGGGGGCUAGCGUUGCUCGGAAUCACUGGGCGUAAAGGGUGCGUAGGCGGGUUUUUAAGUCAGGGGUGAAAUCUUGGAGCUCAACUCCAGAACUGCCUUUGAUACUGAAGAUCUUGAGUCCGGGAGAGGUGAGUGGAACUGCGAGUGUAGAGGUGAAAUUCGUAGAUAUUCGCAAGAACACCAGUGGCGAAGGCGGCUCACUGGCCCGAUACUGACGCUGAGGCACGAAAGCGUGGGGAGCAAACAGG
rnacentral:rRNA from 1 species